rnacentral:rRNA from 1 species
GACGAACGCUGGCGGCGUGCUUAACACAUGCAAGUCGAACGGAAAGGCCCUGCUUUUGUGGGGUGCUCGAGUGGCGAACGGGUGAGUAACACGUGAGUAACCUGCCCUUGUCUUUGGGAUAACUUCAGGAAACUGGGGCUAAUACCGGAUAGAAGCUCCUGCUGCAUGGUGGGGGUUGGAAAGUUUCGGCGGUUGGGGAUGGACUCGCGGCUUAUCAGCUUGUUGGUGGGGUAGUGGCUUACCAAGGCUUUGACGGGUAGCCGGCCUGAGAGGGUGACCGGCCACAUUGGGACUGAGAUACGGCCCAGACUCCUACGGGAGGCAGCAGUGGGGAAUAUUGCACAAUGGGCGGAAGCCUGAUGCAGCAACGCCGCGUGCGGGAUGACGGCCUUCGGGUUGUAAACCGCUUUCGCCUGUGACGAAGCGUGAGUGACGGUAAUGGGUAAAGAAGCACCGGCUAACUACGUG